AACGAUGGAUGCUAGCGUCGGGGAGCUUGCUCUUCGGUGGCGCAGCUAACGUAUUAAGCAUCCCGCCUGGGGAGUACGGUCGCAAGAUUAAAACUCAAAGAAAUUGACGGGGGCCCGCACAAGCGGUGGAGUAUGUGGCUUAAUUCGAUGCAACGCGAAGAACCUUACCUGGCCUUGACAUGUAUCUCUAAGCACGUGAAAGCGUGUGACUCCCGAAAGGGAGAAUUUACACAGGUGCUGCAUGGCUGUCGUCAGCUCGUGUCGUGAGAUGUUGGGUUAAGUCCCGCAACGAGCGCAACCCUUGUCCCUAGUUGCUACGCAAGGGCACUCUAGGGAGACUGCCGGUGACAAACCGGAGGAAGGUGGGGAUGACGUCAAGUCCUCAUGGCCCUUAUGGGUAGGGCUUCACACGUCAUACAAUGGCCGGUACAGAGGGUUGCCAAAGCGCGAGCUGGAGCCAAUCCCCAUAAAAGCCGGUCGUAGUCCGGAUUGCAGUCUGCAACUCGACUGCAUGAAGUCGGAAUCGCUAGUAAUCGCGGAUCAGCAUGUCGCGGUGAAUACGUUCCCGGGUCUUGUACACACCGCCCGUCACACCAUGGGAGUGGGUUCUACCAGAAGUAGGUAGGCUAACCGCAAGGAGGCCGCUUACCACGGUAGGAUUCAUGACUGGGGUGAAGUCGUAACAAGGUAACCAAGGG
rnacentral:rRNA from 1 species